NGACCUCAAAUCAGGUAGGACUACCCGCUGAACUU
rnacentral:rRNA from 1 species